rnacentral:lncRNA from 10 species
CCAGCCCCGACCGACUGGCAGCCCAGUUUCUUCCCAAGUCCCGCCCCCAGCCCCGGGCGCCGCGGCGGCGGCUGCUCUCCUCUUUGUAACCGAGGAGUCAAGAAAUGCGCGGGCGCGCGGAGCUAAUUGCGACUCUAAUCCUCUGCCCCGCGGCGCAGCCGAGCCCCGAGCCAGGAGUCGCCGCGCGCGCCCGUUCGCGCUGGGUAAUUUGGGGCCGGAUCGCUGCCCUUUACGUCCGGGCUGGGCCGCGGCGAGGCGCUGGCUAGGGGCUGGAGUGGGGGGCUGGUUUUCUCUCCAGCAAUCGAGGGAGGCCGCCGGAGAGAGAGGAGGGAGGAGAGGAGGUGGGAGCGGCGGGAGGGCAGCCGGAGAGCGGCGCGAGGAGGAGGCGGCGGCGGCGGAGGCGGCG